CGCACUCACCAGACCACAGAAGGUCAGCGCAUGACGGCCUGAUGAGCGGCUUGGAGCCUACAUCACCCUGGGCCUCCUGGAGACGCUGCAGCCGUGCAGGCCCCUCGGUGACCAGGCUGCAUCUGGUGAAACUUCAUUUCAGCACAGGUGUUGGUGACAUGGUCAAGUCGUGUAGACAUGAGAGAUUCAGUUGCUCCUUCCCUUGGUGGCCUGUCUAUACAGCUCCAUGGGGGAAGAGGUGGGGCCGUUUCUGCCCCACCACUCAGAGACGGAAGGAAGAAUAAAUCCCAGCGCCUGGAACCUCCAAUCAAGCCACGCUUUUCCGUAUCCUUUGGUAUAAGGGAGAUGUUGGGGACUGAAACAUACGUUAAGAAAGGUGAAAGCUUGCUUUCUUAGAGGUCUUUUGGCAAAAGGAUUAUUGGUAGCGUAGUGAAGUUGGCCGGGGGAAAAGUUCUCCAAUCAGACUUCCAAUCCCAGCCCUACCACUUCCUGGGUAUGUGUCUUCGUCUGUCUGGGCUGCCAGAUCAAAUUAGACUGAAAGACAAUUUAUGCUAAACUACAGACAUUUAUUUCUCAUGGUUCUGGAGGCUGGAAGUCUGAGAUCAGGGUGCCAGUGUGGGCCAGCACCUUUGCCUCCUUAUAGCAAGGAUUACCUUUCGUCCUGUUUUUAAUAACAUGCCCCUCCUUUCUGUCUGAGACCUCCCCAUAAUCCCACCAAUGUCCAUAUGUCUAACAUGCACCUCAAAACUCUUCCAGGCUCGACCUAGUACCUGGUUCCAAAGCCUCUUUAUAACAGGUAUUCGUUACAGCGACAACCCUCUUCUCAGUAGCAAAAUCCUAGUCUCUUCAAGCUGUCAUAACAAAAUACAAGACACUGGGUGGCUAAAACAGCAGAAAUUUAUUUUCUCACAGUCCUGGAGGCUGGAUGUCCCAAGAUCUCUAGUCAGCAAACUGGACCCAGGAGAGGAGGUCCAGUCUGAGUCCAAAGGCCUGAGAACCAGGAAGGUCAAUGGUUGGAGGUACUGGAGAUGGAACCCAGGACCUUGUGCAUUCUAGGCAUAUGCUGUACCACUGAGCUGUACCCACCCCACCUGAUGACUUCCAUUUUAAAAUGGCAUUGAGCGUGUAACUGCAGAGCAGAUCUGGCUGCUGUUGGUGGAACCAUUAUCAAUUUCAAGUGCGAUGCUGCCUUCUUUGGUCCCAUGCAGCUUCCCCUGGAAGACCGUACCUCCCCUGCCAAAGCGAGUCCCUGAAAUCUGUUCGGAAACUAACCACAGGCCUGUGUCCCAGUGGAAGUGGCUGCUGAACACAAUUCCUGCUGUCUGGUUGGUGACGUGCUAAUCACCCUUUGUUGUUCUAAACAAAUACGUCUCAGCAGAGACUCAAAGGAACUUUUUCAGAGAAGAAAGUGGGUAUGUUCACACCGAUUUUAUGUGGGCAGAAUGAGCGAUGCUUAGUCAAAUAAUCGCUCCUGAUUCUCACUUGGGCAUAUGUGGUUUGGACUAGAAACUAAAAGCUACUUGGACAAUUUUGCAGAACCUUAUCGCUGGCUUCGGUCUGGAGCUCCUGUCUGAAACAGCAGGUAGCAUCAGGGCAUUAAAAGACAUACGCGUUGGGUUGGUGUGUUCCUCCUUCAUGAGGCGCAGUUUGUGAUUCAUCUAUUUAAUUGUGCUGUAAACGGACAUUUAUGGAGCACCUGCUUGGGGCUAGGGAUGUAUCAGUGUUGAGAUUUUACUUACAAAAAAAAAGACAAAAUCCCUAGCAGGUGGUGUGGUGGUGUCAGGGGAGCAGGUAGACAUGAAAGCAGAAUGAAAAUGCAGGAUGAUGGAAAUGUCAUGUUAUGAAUGCCUGGAGAGUGUGGUACAGGAGCACAGAGAAGGGCCUGACUAGAUGUUUUGGGGGUAAAUCUGGAAAGAAAUAAAGAGAAGUAUUUGAGUGGAGUCGUAAUGAAAACAGUGUAACCAGAACAUUACGUGGGAGGCUCUUUGUAGCUGGAGGUCAAAAGUCUGCACGUUUUAGGACCUACAAAGUUCAGGAUGACUGUGAGUGACAUAGGAGGGGGUUAAUCAAAGAGUGAAAGGAGAAUUUUAAAAGGAGCUAAAACAGACCCUGAUACGAAUAGUCAUAGACAUUAUGCAAAGACCUUGGAUUAUGUUAACAGGCUUUUCACGCGGAAGAGGGGUGUGAUGGGACUAUAUCUGAGAAUGACCGCUCUGUUGACAGAAGAAUGAAUUAGAGCAGAAAGAGGACAGGAGACCUUACAGACAGCCAGGCUGCAGGUGCAGUUUUACCAUUUUGGUGACAAUUUAUGGAAGAAUGAGAAGGCUUAUCGUUCUCCCACAGUCUCUUUAAAAACAUGAAAGCCGUAAGGACCCAAUAGGAGAAUUUCAUGGAGUAUUUUCAUGAAAAAAUAAUUACAGAGAUUAUUUUCUUUUACUGGCCUGAAAUCUUAAAAAAAAAAAAAAAGACAGUAGGCCAGUACAGUGAAUCUUGCCUUUUCUAACAUAAAUUUUAUAUAGCGUGAGACAAAUUUUGUCUUCUAACUCAUAAGAUGAUUAACAGCAAAGUCGUCAAUUAUGGAGAAUCAGUAAGUUGUUAAAGAAUACUGCUUCUUAAUUGAAGGCUUUUACACUAGUUGUCUACCUCCUGAAAGGACUUAUUUCCCCAUUCAGUGCUAAAUUUAAGGACCCCUUUCAAACAUCCAUCAUGUAUCACUGAACCGGAUCGGAAGACAUGAGUGCGGACUGCUUUAAGGCAUGUCAAAAUGAGUAAGUGUUUUAGUAAGCUGUUCUAUUUCUAAUACAAGCCGGUGAAAAAACAAUGAGCCAGUCUCCAGUGUUAAGAUGGGAAAAUAUGAAAACCAUCCCGGCUUACUCCACUCAUCACCAUGGUUUCAUCAUCUAUUACACAGUAAAACAAACAUAGCCACUGACUAUAACCCUUAAUGAGCAUAUGUGACUCUGAUAAUGUUUAUCAGGUUUAUUUGUUUGAGGCCAACUGAAAUGAAAAGAAAACAGUGCAGCGGUGGGUCAUUAGUCUCUUCUGACGUGUGCUGUAACUCUAAGGAAAACAUUAGUAGCCUAUUUUUAGCAAGUACCUUCAUCCACUGAAGCGAUAAUGGCCCAAGGAAUAAUCCCUGGGAUGGAAAACAGAAAUUCCCGGAAUUAAACGUUCUUGCUCAUCUGUGCUAUGGUCACAGGAAAUCUAUCAGCGCCGUCCUUUCUCAUCAACAUCGAGAAAUGUUUCGCAUCAGACCGUUAUGCAAUACUCUCCAACUAGACUGCCUUCUGCCUUCAUCUCUGCUAAGUCAGGGUCCUCCCAGACAGAAGAAAUGAAAAACGUCACCUCCUCCCGGAAGCCUCUCUUUGCCUGUAAACGUUAGCCCUUGUACUUUAUAUUAUUUUCAUUUUUGUAAUCUGUCUAUUUUAUGUUCUUUCCAAUCUUCAAAAAUCCUAUUGAAAAAACUCAUACAGAAAUGACAGAAGCAAGACAUCUUUCUAGAUUCCACUGCGAUUGCUGUAUGUGGAAGGAAGCAGAUAGAUAAAAAAGGUAGUUUCUUCCCUGUGGGGGUACAAAACCCAGCAGAAGGGAUAAGGCAGAUGGAGAGGGUCAGAGAGUGGUCCUCAGCAUCUGAGAGGGACGCAGCCGCUGUCACCAACCCCGGGACUCAGUGAUUGACAAAGAGUGUGUGUGGACAUGAGGGGGUGGCCACCAGCCAGGCUGGUGGGGUGGAGGGAGAGGAGGGCCUGGGCAGGAGUUUGAAAACUAUCAGGAGGCACUGGAGAGCCAGAACAGGGCCUUUGGAAUAAACAAAACAGAUACGAGUUAAAAUAUGGGACCUUCUGUCUGUGUGAUUUUGGUAAGUUACACCACGAUUUGGGGGCAUGUGAGAUGACUGUUACCACAAAUGAGAUUCUGUGAAAAGACUCAUUAAAUUGUCCAGGUUACAAGUUUAUGGUUCUUAUUGCUAUGAUUUGAUGCUUCUCAGGGAGUUUGCCUCCCCAUUCUUUCCCCCAUUGGGGAAUCAUUGUAUUUAAUUGUGAAGUGUCUCCCAAGGGCAGUGUAUGUGGGGAAUUCAGAAGAAAAGGAGUCCUCUGACUUUGGGGGUGGGGCUCAGAGUGGGCUUCGUGGAGGAGAUACCACUUCAGCUGGUUUGUAAGAGUCAGUUAUGAUUUGAGGAAGCAGCGAUGAAGGAGACAGACCACCCACCCAUGAGCCAGAUAAUAAAUGGAGAACAUUUACACACUUCUUUCUUGGUGUUCCAAGAUGAGUUCCAGGCCUUUGUUGGAUACUCCCUCCAGAAAUGGUAAGCUUCUUAGAGCAGGGACCAUGAUUUUACAUCUUAUUUAUUAUCCCUACAGAGAAGCCAAUAGAAAUAAAAUAAAUGCUUUUUGUUGAUGGUC